AUUGAACGCUGGCGGCAUGCCUUACACAUGCAAGUCGAACGGCAGCACGGGAGCAAUCCUGGUGGCGAGUGGCGAACGGGUGAGUAAAGUAUCGGAACGUGCCCAGUCGUGGGGGAUAACGUAGCGAAAGUUACGCUAAUACCGCAUACGAUCUAUGGAUGAAAGCGGGGGAUCGCAAGACCUCGCGCGAUUGGAGCGGCCGAUAUCAGAUUAGGUAGUUGGUGGGGUAAGGGCUCACCAAGCCGACGAUCUGUAGCUGGUCUGAGAGGACGACCAGCCACACUGGGACUGAGACACGGCCCAGACUCCUACGGGAGGCAGCAGUGGGGAAUUUUGGACAAUGGGCGAAAGCCUGAUCCAGCCAUGCCGCGUGCAGGAUGAAGGCCUUCGGGUUGUAAACUGCUUUUGUACGGAACGAAAAAGUUUGGCCUAAUAAGCUGAGCUCAUGACGGUACCGUAAGAAUAAGCACCGGCUAACUACGUGCCAGCCGCCGCCGUAA
rnacentral:rRNA from 1 species